rnacentral:tRNA from 1 species
GUGAGCGUAGCUCAGUUGGUAGAGCCCCGGAUUGUGGUUCCGGUUGUCGCGGGUUCAAAUCCCGUCGUUCACCCCA